UCGCUAGUGGUUGACUGGUUAAGACUCUGCUUCUGAUGCAGGAGGCUCGGGUUCAAUCCCUGGUUAGUGAA
rnacentral:tRNA from 1 species